UACGUAGGUGGCAAGCGUUGUCCGGAAUUAUUGGGCGUAAAGAGCGUGUAGGCGGCCAUGUAGGUCCGUUGUGAAAACUCGAGGCUCAACCUCGAGACGCCGAUGGAAACCAUGUGGCUAGAGUCCGGAAGAGGAGAGUGGAAUUCCUGGUGUAGCGGUGAAAUGCGCAGAUAUCAGGAGGAACACCGGUGGCGAAGGCGGGUCUCUGGGCCGUAACUGACGCUGAGGAGCGAAAGCGUGGGGAGCGAACAGG
rnacentral:rRNA from 1 species